ACAGGCCAGGUUAUUGAGACGGGUAACAGGCCAGGUUAAUGAGACGGGUAACAGGCCAGGUUAAUGAGACGGGUAACAGGCCAGGUUAGUGAGACGGGUAACAGGACAGGUUAGUGAGACGGGUAACAGGACAGGUUAGUGAGACGG